rnacentral:rRNA from 1 species
GGGACACGUGGUAUCCUGUCUGAAUAUGGGGGGACCAUCCUCCAAGGCUAAAUACUCCUGACUGACCGAUAGUGAACCAGUACCGUGAGGGAAAGGCGAAAAGAACCCCGGCGAGGGGAGUGAAAAAGAACCUGAAACCGUGUACGUACAAGCAGUGGGAGCACAGGUUUACCUGUGUGACUGCGUACCUUUUGUAUAAUGGGUCAGCGACUUAUAUUCUGUAGCAAGGUUAACCGUAUAGGGGAGCCGGAGGGAAACCGAGUCUUAAUUGGGCGUUAAGUUGCAGGGUAUAGACCCGAAACCCGGUGAUCUAGCCAUGGGCAGGUUGAAGGUUGGGUAACACUAACUGGAGGACCGAACCGACUAAUGUUGAAAAAUUAGCGGAUGACCUGUGGCUGGGGGUGAAAGGCCAAUCAAACCGGGAGAUAGCUGGUUCUCCCCGAAAGCUAUUUAGGUAGCGCCUCGUGAAUUCAUCUCCGGGGGUAGAGCACUGUUUCGGCUAGGGGGCCAUCCCGGCUUACCAACCCGAUGCAAACUGCGAAUACCGGAGAAUGUUAUCACGGGAGACACACGGCGGGUGCUAACGUCCGUCGUGAAGAGGGAAACAACCCAGACCGCCAGCUAAGGUCCCAAAGUCAUGGUUAAGUGGGAAACGAUGUGGGAAGGCCCAGACAGCCAGGAUGUUGGCUUAGAAGCAGCCAUCAUUUAAAGAAAGCGUAAUAGCUCACUGGUCGAGUCGGCCUGCGCGGAAGAUGUAACGGGGCUAAACCAUGCACC